rnacentral:tRNA from 1 species
CCUUCGAUAGCUCAGCUGGUAGAGCGGAGGACUGUAGAGGUGCGCGCUCCUUGGCGAUCCUUAGGUCGCUGGUUCGAUUCCGGCUCGAAGGA